UAACACAUGCAAGCUCGAACGAUGCCUUCGGGCAUAGUGGCGCACGGGUGCGUAACGCGUGGGAAUCUGCCCUUUGCUUCGGAAUAACAGUUAGAAAUGACUGCUAAUACCGGAUGAUGACGAGAGUCCAGAGAUUUAUCGGCAAGGGAUGAGCCCGCGUAGGAUUAGGUAGUUGGUGGGGUAAAGGCCUACCAAGCCGACGAUCCUUAGCUGGUCUGAGAGGAUGAUCAGCCACACUGGGACUGAGACACGGCCCAGACUCCUACGGGAGGCAGCAGUGGGGAAUUUUGGACAAUGGGGGAAACCCUGAUCCAGCAAUGCCGCGUGUGUGAAGAAGGCCUUCGGGUUGUAAAGCACUUUUGUCCGGAAAGAAAACUUCUGCCCUAAUACGGUGGGAGGAUGACGGUACCGGAAGAAUAAGCACCGGCUAACUACGUGCCAGCAGCCG
rnacentral:rRNA from 1 species